rnacentral:tRNA from 1 species
GCAUUGGUGGUUCAGUGGUAGAAUUCUCGUCUUCUAUGUGGGAAAUCGGGGUUCAAUUCCCAGCCGUACA